GACGAACGCUGGCGGCGUGCCUAAUACAUGCAAGUCGAGCGAAGCGGCGGUUGGGUGAGUAACGCGUGGGUAACCUGCCCUUAAGUCUGGGAUAACAUCUGGAAACAGAUGAUGAUACCGGAUACUAAAGGAUGGACCUGCGAUGAAUUAGCCAGUUGGUAAGGUAACGGCUUACCAAGGCGAUGAUGCAUAGCCGGGUUGAGAGAAUGAUCGGCCACACUGGGACUGAGACACGGCCCAAACUCCUACGGGAGGCAGCAGUGGGGAAUCUUCCACAAUGGACGAAAGUCUGAUGGAGCAACGCCGCGUGAGUGAAGAAGGUUUUCGGAUCGUAAAGCUCUGUUGUUGGUGAAGCGGUAAUCAACCAGAAAGUCACGGCUAACUACGUGCCAGCAGCCGCGGUAAUUC
rnacentral:rRNA from 1 species